AUGCUUACACUACCAAAAGUUAAAAUUAUACACACAUUAUUCUGUUCAUGUUUCUCUCCCAUUGUCUAAGAUCAUUUUAUUUAUUCUAAAUAUUAUGGGAGAAAAUUUGAUAACAUCUCCUCGGCCUCUUUAAUGAUUAAAAGUAGAAUUGAGGUCUCGGUGGACCUAGUGCAGCCACAAAUUGGACCCUAAAGGAAAAGAUAGCUUGGCGCUACCUUCCAUUUGUGAACAUAGCUCUUUAAAUAAGUGGUAGCUUAAAAUAACUUGCCUUUGGGGAUCAUACUCAGUGAAUAUAAAAUGAUGAAACAACAAUCCUUAAGCCGCUAGAGCUGGGGUGGGACCAGGUAUCGUAGCAUAAUAGAGCAAGUGUCAUAACAUCAAUGACUUCCACUGUGUGGUACAGGAGAGAGAAUUUUUAGGUCUUUCUCAAGCUGAAGGAUGCUCUUUUUCUGCUCUCCUUACAGAAUAGAGUGAUCUGUGAUAUCUUCCCACUAAUCCCAAGUCAGGAGAGAGAGAGAAUGAAGAUCCAUUGCUGUAGAGGAACAAACUGAACGUGUUGAAGGUCCCGCAAGGCCAAUGUGGCUGGAAUGCAGACACAAAGCCAGGAGGAACAAGAGAUGGGGCUGACAAGAGAGGCAGGAGUCAGAUCUCAUGGGAACUGUCACCUGCAGUGUUGCAGACCUCUUUGAAUACACCAUGAGCACUGUGGAUUCUCGCCUCUGGAGAAUAAAAAUCACAUACAGAAAAGUUCAGACAACUUUAAGGAGUUUGAAGAAUCCCUGCUAGUCGUGGACCCAUCUGGGGUUGGUGGAUUCCUCACCAUGACUCUUUGGAUUCAGAAGUCAUAUAAGAUGCAGUUUAACAAAUAUUGGAAGUCAAAUGAGCAUUCUGCGGAAAAACAGCUUCUUCCAUACAUCAUCUUCUGGAAUAUCCCAGAUCUGGAAGAGGUCACAGGAAUGUCCAUUCAUAGGGAGCUCUACCUGGAGCUCAGAGAUGAUUGAGAGAGGGUAUUCAUCAUGGAUGUGUCCAAGUGAAGGUAGUUUGGAAAGAAACAAAGUUACCCUUUUUUCUCACUAAACAUCUUAGGGUCCCCAUUAGCAGGAAGGAAGGAAGAGGACAGGUGAGCUCCCUGGUAUUGAUGUAUUUACAGAGAACCUAGGCAUCAGCCAUACAUACAGAGGACACUCAUUUGGCCAGAAUUUGGGCUUUGACUUUAAUUAAAUUCCCUUGCUCCCAAUAAGACCUCUCUUAAUCUGAAAACAAUUUGUCAUAAGUGAUGUACCUGCCAAGACCUCAUGGCAAAGAGGCAGGGGGUACCUAGUAAAUGUUGCUGACAAACUCCAGCAUGACUCUAAAGGGACAGUGGCUUCCUUUGGAUGGUCAUGUGCUGCUGCUGGACAUAGCAAUCAGAAGGACAGUGGUGAACACCCAGGAGUGAACCAAGAUGCAAAGUUCAAGUCCGAGGGAAGAAGGGUGCAGUGCGGAAGAAGGGAAGGCAGAUGCUGCAGCCCUGCCUACAAGCAAGGAGGGAGCCAUUAAGAGCCCCAAGCUGGCCAGGCGCAGUGGCUUGCGCCUGUAUUCCUAAUCCCGGCACUUUGGGAAGCCAAGGUGGACGGAUCACCUGAGGUCAGGAGUUUGAGACCAGCUUGACCAACAUGGAGAAACUCUGUCUCUACUAAAAAUACAAAAUUAGCCAGGAGGCUGAGGCAGAAGAAUUGCUAGAAUCCGGGAGGUAGAGGUUGCAGUGAGCCGAGAUCGUGCCAUUGCACUCUAGCCUGGGCAACAAGAGCGAAACUCCAUCUCAAAAAAACAAAAAAGCCCCAAGCCUACUUUAUCAGACAGAGGAAUCAAGUUGUAUUUCCUUCUCACCAAGAGACGCUGGAAAGCUGUAAUCUUACACCAGUGGAGAAAGUGAGAGGAAAAUAAACCCUUUCUAAGGAUGAAUCCUGAAAGCCUUUCACAGACAAUGCUGCUUCUAUAAGAAUGACCUGUGAUGGCUAAGCCAUCACAGUCUUCAUUCCAAUUGACAUUCUAGGUAAACCUGCGCACAACUUUUUCUGUGUAUUUUCCAAAAAAGGAUCAUUUUAUAAAGGCUCAAGUUAUUUACAAAUAUUGUGCGUAUUCUUGCUGUUUCUCAGUUCUUUAAGAACCAUACAGACAUAUUGCCUGGAUUUUCACCAGCCAAUAUGAAUGUGCUCACCUUCCCUUGGGUGAGACCACACAGGCACAACAUGCGGCUCAGGAUAAGUUUUAUUGAACGUUUAGAGAGCUAGUUAAUUAAUUAAUUAUUUUUUUGAGAUGGAGUCUUGCUCUGUCGCCCAGGUUGGGGUGCAGUGGCGUGAUCUCAGCUCACUCCGCCUUCCGGGUUCAAGUGAUUCUCUUGCCUCAGCCUCCAGAGUAGCUGGGAUUACUGGCAUGUGCCACAACACCCAGCUCAUUUUUGUAUUUUUAGUACAAACUGGGUUUCACCAUGUUGGGCAGGCUGGCCUCGAACUCCUGACCUCAGGUAAUCUGCCCGCCUCGGCCUCCCAAAGUGUUGGGAUUACAGGCGUGAGCCACAGCUCCUGGACCAAGAGCUAGUUAAUUUAAAAAAUAGUUUACAAGUUAUUUAAUAAAUGAGAAAAUGGAAACUCAGCCCCAAGGGGAAACGGGAUUCUAAGUUUAACUUCCUUAGGCAGGUCCAGUUUUGUGUGGUUUCUGUGGUAUGGGUGAGUGGUUAUCACACAAUUUGAUCUCAUGAGUAAAACUGAUGCAGGAGGACUUUUGUUCACUCUGUUUUAUUAAUGAAAUGAAUCCAGAGCUGCUUUUUUAUGCUAAAGACUUUAGAGUAAAGACAUAAUAAAGACAGCCCUUCCUCCUCUUGCCUGAGGGAAUUUAGGAAGACAUUCCUUGAGGAAUCUAUUUAGGGCUUUGGAGACAGGAAAGGUAGCAGGAUAUGGUAAGAGCAAAAGCAUCAGCUACAGUAGGUAAUGCCUGGGGUUGUUGAAACUGAAGGAAGAAAAGGUUUCCUGUACAAAAACCAAGCACCGUUUUAUUUUAAUGCUCAGCCGAGACCCCUUCCUGAGAAAACCAGCCACGUCCGUGAUUCUUGAAGAAGGUAGUUCCUCUGAGCCCUGUGUUCGCCAGAGGCCUGGAGGAGUAAGUGAGAAGUAGAGGGUGCUGCCAGCACGAAUGCUUUGUCAUUUAGAACUGCCCAGGGAGCAGUUAUAAAACACACACCUGCAAAUUACAAGAGGAUGGCAUGGGCUCACAGGUGCAGCAAGACAUGAAGUGACAUCUGUCCUCAGCGUCCCUUUUCUUGGAAUGCUCCCAUGUAGAACCCUAUGUCACUUUGAACGAACCUCUUUCUGAAGUGCCUGGGGAGCUCUAUCUCCAAGCCCCUACCCUAGGUACUUGCCUCUCCACCCAACCCCACCCCAGUACUGACGACUCAUCUUAGGAACUGGAGAUAGUGAAAGACAAGACCAAUUGAGCAUUUGGGUGGGAGAGAACAUGGCUUACAUGCUCUGCUAAUCUGGGAUCACAUUCUUCCCUACAAGUCUGAAAGCUAAGUGACAGCCCCAAGUCUCCCUCUUAGCAGGUUAGGAGGGGAAGCACACCAAGAGGCCUCACAACUGUGUGUGGAAUCACUGUGUUCUCAGUGAGGGAGAGAAAAUAGAGAAUUUUUAAAGCAUUCUCCCCAGAUAAUAGAAGUUUUGAUUCGUUCUUUCCCAAGACAAAACCAAAAGUUUGUUUAAAUCUUGUUUCGUACACACAUUGAGGAGAGCAACUUUGAGCAUCUACUGCAUACUAGGCAUUGCACUCUGUGUGGGGCAAUACAGGGGUGAUAUGGGGCGGAAUAAGGCAACUCGAGUGGCCACUAGGUGUACUGCAGAGGUAGUUAACCUGCACUUUGACAAGGCUCCCUCCCCUCCCCUCCCCUCCCCCCUCCCCUCCCCUCCC
rnacentral:lncRNA from 10 species